rfam:Schistosoma rodhaini strain Burundi genome assembly, scaffold: SROB_scaffold0007643
AUCCAGCCGACGAGUCCCAAAUAGGACGAAACGUGCGUCCUGGAU